rnacentral:misc_RNA from 1 species
UCCGGUUUGACACCGGCAGUCUCGUUAGAGUCCUCACCAUGACGUGUUAGCAACUAACGACAGGGGUUUCGCUCGUUAAGGGACUUAACCCGACACUUCACAGCACGAGCUGACGACAGCCAUGCAGCACCUGUGUACGUUCCACUCAAAGAGCGUGGCCUCCCUUUCAGGAGGUUAAUCCGUACAUGUCAAGCCCAGGAUAAGGUUCUUCGCGUUGCCUCGAAUUAAGCCACAUGCUCCACCGCUUGUGUGAGCCCCCGUCAAUUCCUUUGAGUUUUAGCCUUGCGACCGUACUCCCCAGGCGGUGUACUUAACACUUUUGCUUCGACCCUGAGGGUGUCAGCACCUCCAGGAUCUAGUACACAUCGUUUAGGGCGUGGACUA